rnacentral:rRNA from 1 species
AUCCUACGGGACGCAGCAGUGGAGAAUAUUGCACAAUGGGGGAAACCCUGAUGCAGCGACGCCGCGUGAGUGAAGAAGUAUUUCGGUAUGUAAAGCUCUAUCAGCAGGGAAGAAAAUGACGGUACCUGACUAAGAAGCCCCGGCUAACUACGUGCCAGCAGCCGCGGUAAUACGUAGGGGGCAAGCGUUAUCCGGAUUUACUGGGUGUAAAGGGAGCGUAGACGGCAGGGCAAGUCUGGAGUGAAAGCCCGGGGCCCAACCCCGGGACUGCUUUGGAAACUGCCAUGCUGGUGCGCUGGGGCGGG